rnacentral:misc_RNA from 1 species
GAUGAAGAACGCAGUGAAAUGCGAUAAGUAAUGCGAAUUGCAGAAUUCAGUGAAUCAUCGAAUCUUUGAACGCACAUUGCGCCCGCCAGUAUUCAGGCGGGCAUGCCUGUCUGAGCGUCGUUUCGACCCUCGCGCCCGGCUUCUGUCGGGGGCGGUGUUGGGGAUCGGCCACACCCUUCAGUGGGAGGCCGGCCCCUAAAUUCAGUGGCGACCACGCUGUAGCCUCCCCUGCGUAGUACUAAAACCACCUCGCAGGCGGAGAGCGGUGCGGCCCGCCGUAAAACCCCCCAACUUUUACAAGGUCGACCUCAGAUCAGGUAGGAAUACCCGCUGAACUUAAGCAUAUCAAUAAGCGGAGGA